AUUGAACGCUGGCGGCAGGCCUAACACAUGCAAGUCGAACGGUAACAGGAAGCAGCUUGCUGCUUUGCUGACGAGUGGCGGACGGGUGAGUAAUGUCUGGGAAACUGCCCGAUGGAGGGGGAUAACUACUGGAAACGGUAGCUACUACCGCAUAACGUCGCAAGACCAAAGAGGGGGACCUUAGGGCCUCUUGCCAUCGGCUGUGCCCAGAUGGGAUUAGCUAGUAGGUGGGGUAACGGCUCACCUAGGCGACGAUCCCUAGCUGGUCUGAGAGGAUGACCAGCCACACUGGAACUGAGACACGGUCCAGACUCCUACGGGAGGCAGCAGUGGGGAAUAUUGCACAAUGGGCGCAAGCCUGAUGCAGCCAUGCCGCGUGUAUGAAGAAGGCCUUCGGGUUGUAAAGUACUUUCAGCGGGGAGGAAGGGAGUAAAGUUAAUACCUUUGCUCAUUGACGUUACCCGCAGAAGAAGCACCGGCUAACUCCGUG
rnacentral:rRNA from 1 species